rnacentral:rRNA from 1 species
CACGUGACUAACCUACCCUUGAGUGGGGGAUAACCUAGGGAAACCUGGGCUAAUACCGCAUAAUACCUUCGGGUCAAAGGAGCAAUUCGCUUAAGGAGGGGGUCGCGGCCGAUUAGUUAGUUGGCGGGGUAAUGGCCCACCAAGACUAUGAUCGGUAUCCGGCCUGAGAGGGCGCACGGACACACUGGAACUGAAACACGGUCCAGACUCCUACGGGAGGCAGCAGUGGGGAAUUUUGCGCAAUGGGGGAAACCCUGACGCAGCAACGCCGCGUGGAGGAUGAAGCCCCUUGGGACGUAA